rnacentral:lncRNA from 1 species
AUGCUGGGCGUGGUCCACAGUGCCUGUCUACGCAAGGGAAGGAGUGAGAGAUGGGCACAGAGGCCUGAAGGAAACUUUGGAUACAGUCCAGCCAGAAGCCACUUUCUUCCUGUUCCUGGUCUUAUGCAAGAAACUCAUUUCACAAAGCUUGUCCAAGGAGGGUUUCUGACCUGCCGUGGGGAAUGAAGACAUCUGCCCUAGCACUCACAGACAGCUCACUCCUCUGGAACUCCAGCACCUAAAAAGAAGGUAAGAAAGAAUUCACUCAACAAACUUCCCUGAGAACUCACUGAAUGUUAUAACCUCUGCUAAGUGCUGAGGAUACAGAAAGAAAGGGCAAGGAAGGGUCUAGUAACAGAGAAGUACACUGGCCAUAGGCCAGAGGCCCCUCACAGCUGAGUGACUAAUUAAGGCACAUGACCGCUCUCAGCCUCAGUUUCCCAGUCUGGAAGAUAGGAAUAAUAAAUAGUACUACCUCAGAUGGGGAUCAUGAGGCUUAGGUGAGAUAUACUGUGUGUGAGGUAUUUAGACAGUCAGGAAGUGCCAAGACGACGGUGAUGAUGAUAAAG